rnacentral:tRNA from 1 species
GGCUGCGUAGUGUAGUGGUUAGCAUGUCUGCUUUAUAUGCAGAAGGUCCUUGGUUCGUGCCCCAGGUGGAGCCA